GGCCUCCCCUCGGCCUGCCCUGCUCCGGGCUGAGCACACCAGGGCCUGCUCCUCAUGCACCUUGCCCUCCAGAUCCUUCUCCAUCUUUUUAGCCCUCCUUUGGACGCUCCCUAAUAGUUUGAUGUCCCUCUUACAUUGUGGUACCCAAAGUACAACGAGUGCUGGAGGUGAGGCCGCACAGCACAGAGCAGAGGGGACACCCACACCCCUUGCCUAGUGGCCACGCUGGGCCUGGGGCACCCCAGGGCACAGUUGGCUGAUGCACAUUAGCUCCACACUGUUAUUCACUGGCAGAGCUUCACCACCACUAAGUGAGAUACCUGUCUACCCUUCAUCUGUAGCUAUAACCAUCCCUCCGGUGCAGUGUGAGAAGCACACUGGUGCAUGGUGCUGCCCACCCUGCCAGGCUCUGCCCUCAGCUCCUGAUGCCCAUCCAGUGCUUUACAUGUCACUGCGGCCAGGGGAGGAUCAGCUCCUCACAGAAGGCUUUCAACUCCCCUCUCCCCCACCCCCCCUCCCAAUGUUAGAAAAGCUACAGUGCUUGCAAGUCACAACUUCAACUUCUGUACAAUUUUAUCAUUUCCUUUAAUUGCUUCAAGCACUCUAAUUUUUAUACCAUUGUGAAAGGAUCUUUGUUUACACUGAUUGUGGAGGGCAAUAUUUCUAGCACGGGUAACCAUGGCAAUGAAUAAUUCUAUUCUCAGGAACUGUGCCAGCUGCACUAAUGCCUCAUAGUAGAACUCCAGCAGUUUACUAAUGAGAGACUUCUAGUUUGUUGCAGGAGGACAUUUUCCCUUGUCUACGCAUUAGCCUGCAGUUUCUUAAAAGCACAUUCCUUAUCAGUGAUGUUUGGGGAGCAAAAUAAAACAAAACAAGCAAAUCUCAGCUACACAGCUGUCCCUGCAAGUAAGGUUUUCUUGUCUUUUCUUUGAGACUGCAUUAUGAGAUACAUUAUUUAAGAAACCGUGCUGUGCAAUAGUCUGUUUUAAUGGCCACGUUUGAAAGCAAGGAUGCGGUUAGGAUGCUCCAGAGCGGCUGUCUGUUGCACAAAAAGAUUUUGCCCUGUAAACUGCUCUGGUCAGAUGUAUGGCAUUUAUCGCUAAGGAAAGUGUUUAACAAUUUUAGUAGGUUCUUUUUAUAAAUAUUCUGCUUUGAGUAAAGAAUCUUUUAAAAUCUUUUUAAUCCUUCCUUUUACUUUAUAGAAAUAGAUAUUACACCGUGGGGUUGAAUUACUGUGACACAAGAGCACUGAAAUUGAUUGAAAUAUUAUCUCUCAUCUAUGUGUAAAAUUAGUUGUUCUAUAUAUAUAAAAAAAACACCUGUAAAAUAAGUAAAAACCCAUAUAUUUUAUACAAUUCAUUAUGUAAGUGUUAUUUAAAUUAUUUGAACAAUAGUAGCUCUGACAUUGAGUAUUUUUAGCUUAGGUGUGUUGGGGAAACCCUCAGUUAACAGCUAAGCUAAAGUUCUUGUCACUGCAUGACCUGUGGUCUCAGAGUACAAAACCAAUCAGCUGGAGAAAAGCAUCUUCUCUGGUUUGCAGAACAUUAACAAUCCCGAGUGUGUUAUCCCAAAUAGGUACCCUUACAGAAGAUUUAUGCAACAACUGCUGAAUUAGUCAAAGCAGUCUAGGAUGGUUGUAGCUCGUGGUUUCUAGAAAAGCAUUUCUUAGCCUUGUGCCUUGGAUCGAACAGAAGGCUGAACACAUCUAAACAAACACCAACAAGAUUUUUCUUUCCCCACAUGUUGCAAAAUGAAUUGAUCUCUCCUCUGUGGUUAGUGACCCAGUGCCCUAAUUUGAGGCUCUGCUGUCACCAGUCUCUGUGACGGACAUCUGCCCCGAGCCAGCUGUCAUGCCUGGCCCCUUCCUGGGGCUCCUCUCAUCACCCUCCUGUGCUCUGCUCUCAGAACAGCUGCCUGCCCACGUCCCUAAAGACAAAGCAGGAUCCAGCAAAUACAGCUUCCCAGAAAAUUCAGCUUGGGUUGCUUUAAACAGGAAAAAUGACCCCCAAAUGGCAGUUCUGCUCAGACUGGGACAGCUUGGUCUUUCUGCGGCUCUGUAACACCCCCACCUUUCCAGCGCAUAAAAAUCUAGGUCAGUCCUGAAAUGAAAACAGCAAUGAAAAGCUGUAAUGUUUUUCCACAGAGCUGUUGGAACUCAGUGGUUGGUGCUUCCCAAUUUUCUUUUCCCAGGUGAGCGCAUUGCUUCUGUUUAACUCAGGCCAACGAUUCCUCUGCCUCCUGAAGCAAGAAUGAUAGAAUCAUAGAAUUGUUUGAAUUGGAAGGGACUCUUAAUGGCCAUCUGGUCCAACUCCUCUGCAAUGAAUAGACAUACCUACAACUAGCCUACCUACAACUCUGACCAUGUUGCUCAGAGCCCCCUCCAGCCUGACUUUAAAUGUCUCCAGGGACGGGAUAUCCACCACCUCUCUGGGCAACCUGUGCCAGUGCCUCACCACCCUUAUUGUAAAAAACUUCUUCCCUAUAUCCAGGCUAAAUCUCCCCUCUUUUACUUUGAAACCAUUUUCCUUUGCCCUAUCAAGGAGAUGCAGUUUUUCUGAAAAUAUGCCCUUUGGUAUCCCUUCCCACCUCAACCACCCCGUGAUCCUGUGGUGACUGAAGGGCUGGCUCAGAUAGCUGUCCUGACUUGGUGACCUUCUCUUUUUAGUUGGCUUUCUUUUUUUUUUUUUUUUUCCUUCCUUUUUUUAUGAAAAACGUACAUAGGUAGAUAGAGAAAACGUGGAAGAGACAGAGGAAAAAGAAGAAAGAGAGAAGGAGAGAAAGAGUCGCUUCAGCAGCUCUUAGGGGUGGCAGGAGCCCAAACCCAGGCUCUUUACUGUAGUGUAAAUCCAGGCCAAUGCUCUUCAGAAACUCUCUCCCUUCGAGGCAUAGGGAUGGAAUGCCCAAAAAGAUUCCAGUGAGGGGACCGACACCACAGAGGGUUAAAGCAUUGCCAUUUCCCAGGCAGUCCCCAGUUUAUCCUUUUCUGAGGGCUGUGGUGCUGCUCAUUAUAAGCAAUUAAUCUCCAGCGCUGCUCUCUGCUGUCAGCUCGUGCCGCCGUCACGCGCCAGCUGAGCCGUGAGGAAGCGGCUGCCUGUCCCACGCUGCCUGGUGCCUCCUCCUACAACUUGUUUUGCUCUUGUUCCCCGCAGGUGCUUUGGGUUAUUGCUGGCAGCACCUGCUGAUGCUCAGAGCUGUUCUGCUCCUGCUGCUGCCUCUGUUUGGAGGAAGAAACAGAUGAAAACCUCCUCAUCUCUCACAGGCCAAGAGGAGGGGAAAAUCCCAACCCAACAAGAUGUCCCUGCAGACCAGUGGGACCCAUGGCUGGGAGUAGAUGGAACAGUUUGCCCCCACCCUGCUGCAGCUGUCUGCUGUGCAGUGGCAGGAGAUGGAGCAUGGAAGGGGAAGACGCUGGGGUUGCAGAAAUACAACUAUUUUACCUCUCUUUUGCUGAUAAGUCACCCAGCAGGGAGAGCCUCCUCAAAUCAAUAGAGUUAUCAAAUCAAAGGUCAUGCAGAGCAACAGCAUACCCUCAACACCACCCCUCCUUGGCACAGGCUUUACCCAGUCUCCAUACUGUAACAGGUCCUUCUCUCAACUCAUUCUCAUUCCAUCUAUUUCCCAGACCACCUUGUUGGCUGCUUUUUGUUGUUAUCUAUGUAGGCAUCUGAACAGCACUGCACUUAUCUGAGAUUUCUCUUCUGCACAUCAGGUUGGGGUCUCUUUGCUUUGGGGCUUUUGGGCUUUGGGGCACAGGCUUUCCUGUCUGAACUUGAGGGCUGCAGAAAUGACUGAAAAACAAACAAACAAAAAAAAAAAAACAAAAAAGCAAACAAACAAAAAACAGUGGGGAAAUAACAGUACCUUGGCCAUUAGUCGUCGAUUUCCACUACAAAGGAGCACCAGAGAUUAUCCCAGUGUAUCAGCGAUGUAACCCAGCCCUUUGGCCAUGGGCAGGAUCUGGCCCGCUGACUCUUGGCACAGGAAGUGGAAGGAAGCCAUGGAAGAGGGAUGCAUGCAUUGACUUGAUGUUUUCAGACAUAAUUCUCAGUUAAGCUGCAUGAAUAGAGAUCUUACACUGAAAUGUAUGAUUUCCUCCACAUUUUCUUCUUUUGUGCCUCCUGCAUGUGAGCUUUUGUUAGUCAAUUGCUACACAGCAUUUUUCAGCGUGUCUUUUGUUCAGUGGUCCUUUCAGCUGUCACACUCUGAUCACAUUCCCCCUAGAUGUAUAGAGCACUUUUUGUUUGCUUUGGGAGUAUUUUAAAGAAUGUUUCAUUUAAUAUUCAGCCUUCCUCACCGUUGUCAACAAGAUCAACAUUCUGUUGAAUUUCACUUGGAGUAACCUCAGUGCUGCAUCAGUGGGGCCACGUCUUGCUUCAUCCACAGCUGCAAUCAGCCACAGGACUGUCUGUGCCAUCCCUGGGUAGAAGGGAAGACAAUAAAGACCUAAAUACUGACCAUAACGGGAGUUGUCCUCUUUUUCUUCCUCUUCUCAGCCACUGACCCUUUUUUCCCCCAUAUCUCUUUCCUGGUAAAUGUGUAGAGCUCCAUCUAAGGGUGUCCUGUUGAGGGAAAAAGAGAAUUACCUUUGCUUUCUCUCCUUGUUUAUGUUGCCUGGUGCAUGACUGAAAGGCUUUUCCCUCUUUAUUCAGUAAUAUUCUCU
ensembl:lncRNA